UCUGCAUUCCUUCCCUGCUGCGCCGUCCUGUCCCCACUGCUGCUGCUGCUGCCAGUGCUGUGUCUGUCACUGUAUGACAGGCACUGGCAGCGGGCACCUGCAGCAUGAAAAGCUUCCUCUCUCCCUUCCCCUCCCCUCACCUGUGACAGCGCCGAGUACGGGACACAAGGGGGCGGAGCUACACGGGCCGGAAGGGGGCGGAGCUACACGGACCAGGCUGCUGUACAGAGGGAGACUGGCUUAGGAGUUGUGUUUAUAUUACUCUAUUGUUGCCAUGACCACUCGCCUGCGAUGUGGCGCUCCGUGACCUCAGUGGUUGGCGUUGCGGAAGUGAAGCUGUACACGCUGGUGGGCGGAGGCGCCGUGGAGCAGAACCGGACAAGCAGAGCAGACAGGUGGAGGAAAGAAUGCAAUCAAGACUUUUUUGGUAUUCGCUGUCCAGGCAUGCAAUUACUGAGAGGCAACCAUUGAGCUGACAUCACACUGGAUGUACCCUACGCUGAUUUCCAGAGAUCUCAAGAGCCUUGUCUUCAGCUCUGACUUUUUGAAGAUUAAGCGCCGUGGCUUCAGGUUAUCAUGAGCUUAAGAGAUUUCAGACAUACCUUUUAUAGAUUUUGUGCUGGAAUUAAGGGAUAAAUCUAUUGCUAAGAGGUUCUUUCAAAUAUUAAACCCCCUGAGGCUUUAGAACCAGGUAAACAUGUCUAACAAGAGAAGACCCAAUCAGCUCACAGGUCACAAUCUCUAUAGUGCAGUGAUAAAAUGUAAAUGGAUCUGUAUUUAGCAGGAUUAGGCAGCUGGUUGGCCUCCUACAUGUGUCGAAUGUCAACUCUGCAUAUUUUACAUAUAUCUGUACGACUUUCAUUUCUGAAUACUGAGCAAUUGCCAUUAUUGAAUUGAUGUAGCUUUUGAAAACUAAACAUGAGCCUCUAAACGUUUUACUUACUGGAGUGUUAUAGCUGUUUACAGCCUGUAGGUGGCACUGUUGUAUAUAGAGACCUUUCAGUCACCCUCUUCGUAGGAAGCAGUAUCAAGAAUGAUGUGUAGACUAUAAGGCCAUAUAUACACAUAUGUUAUAAUAACAUGUAGCACGCAAUAUCCUGAGUUCUUUGUGAAGCCCCGUGUUAUUGACUCUACAUUUAAUAUGGGGGUUAUAAAUCGUCAGUAAAUUUACUAAUGUAAAAAAAGUGACAUUUUGUAAAUAACUAAUCGGAGUUUCUUUCAGUAUAGAAUUAGCAUUGCAUUGACUAUACAUACUAACAGGUGAGAUUUUGCAUAGCGAUCUUAAUAGUGAACUUUAACAGUACCAGGUACCAAUGAUCCUUACAGCGCCACUUAGGGCCUAAUUCAGACCUGAUU